AUUGAACGCUGGCGGCAGGCCUAACACAUGCAAGUCGAACGGUAACAGGAAGACGCUUGCUUCUUUGCUGACGAGUGGCGGACGGGUGAGUAAUGUCUGGGAAACUGCCUGAUGGAGGGGGAUAACUACUGGAAACGGUAGCUAAUACCGCAUAACGUCGCAAGACCAAAAAGCGGGACCUUCGGGCCUCUUGCCAUCGGCUGUGCCCAGAUGGGAUUAGCUAGUAGGUGGGGUAACGGCUCACCUAGGCGACGAUCCGUAGCUGGUCUGAGAGGGUGACCAGCCACACUGGAACUGAGACACGGUCCAGACUCCUACGGGAGGCAGCAGUGGGGAAUCUUGCACAAUGGGCGCAAGCCUGAUGCAGCAAUGCCGCGUGUAUGAAGAAGGCCUUCGGGUUGUAAAGUACUUUCAGCGGGGAGGAAGGGAGUAAUGUUAAUACCUUUGCGCAUUGACGUUACCCGCAGAAGAAGCACCGGCUAACUCCGUG
rnacentral:rRNA from 1 species